AGCUUUGCACAGUGGCAAUAUUGUAGCCAAUGAGGUUUAUCUGAGGUGCAAUUAUUGCUAAUUAAAUAACACUUUCCUGAACAACCAUUAGUUUACAGAUCAAAUAAAGGAAGAAAUUAAACAAUAUCUACAACUAAAUGAAAAUA